rnacentral:rRNA from 1 species
UGAGGAAUCUUGCACAAUGGGCGAAAGCCUGAUGCAGCGACGCCGCGUGGGCGAUGAAGGUCUUCGGAUCGUAAAGCCCUUUUCUGCGUGACGAGGAAGGACGGUAGCGCAGGAAGAAGCGUCGGCUAACUACGUGCCAGCAGCCGCGGUAAAACGUAGGACGCAAGCGUUAUCCGGAGUUACUGGGCGUAAAGGGCGUGUAGGCGGCUUUUCAAGUGGCUCGUGAAAGACUUCGGCUCAACCGGGGGAGGUCGGGUCAGACUGGAUAGCUAGAGGAUGUCAGAGGGACACGGAAUUCCGGGUGUAGUGGUGAAACGCGUAGAGAUCCGGAGGAACACCAGUGGCGCAGGCGGUGUCCUGGGACGUACCUGACGCUGAGACGCGAAAGCAGUGGGGAGCGAACGGGAUUAACGAAACCCCGGUAGUCCAUCGACCGUAAACGAUGCCGACUAGCGGUCUGGCGCAAGCUGGGUCGCGCAGCCAACGCGA